AAUGAACGUUGGCGGCGUGGAUUAGGCAUGCAAGUCGAGCGAGAACCGUAGUAAUACGGGGACAGCGGCGAAAGGGAGAGUAAUGCGUGGAUACCAACCCUCGGGUUCGGGAUAGCUACGGGAAACUGUAGGUAAUACCGAAUAAUAUCUCCGGAUCAAAGGUGUGAUUCCGCCGGAGGAGGGGUCCACGUCCUAUUAGCUAGUUGGCGAGGUAACGGCUCACCAAGGCGAAGAUGGGUAUGGGGUGUGGGAGCAUGCCCCCACUCACUGGGACUGAGACACUGCCCAGACACCUACGGGGGGCUGCAGUAGAGAAUCUUCGGCAAUGGGGGAAACCCUGACCGAGCGACGCCGCGUGCGAGAUGAAGGCCUUCGGGUUGUAAAUCGCUGUCAGAGGGGAGGAAAUGCUAGUGGGUUCUCCCAUUAGUUUGACCUAUCCUCAGAGGAAGGACGGGCUAAGUUCGUGCCAGCCGCCGCUGUAA
rnacentral:rRNA from 1 species